UAUGACCAUAUCAUAUUGAAACACCACUUCUCAUACCAGCACCGAAGUUAAGCAAUGUUAAGCCUGAUUAGUACCUAGAUGGGUGGCCACUUGUGAAUACGAGGUGCUGUAAG